GGAGAUGAACAGUUUCUGAUCAAUGAUCUAUGGAGCAUAUGAAAGAUUGAAUUUAAAUAUUAAUUAAUUUUAGAUUAGAUCUAAAUUAAUUAAACUUAAUUAGAUCCAAAAUUUAAGUUAGAUUUGGUACAAAAGUCCUAAAGCGUUUGGAAUUGACAGCCUUUCAAAAUUAUUUCGAACCAACUUCGAAUUGGAUUCGAAUUAGAUCCAUUUUGGAUG
rnacentral:lncRNA from 1 species